rnacentral:lncRNA from 1 species
UGUCAUAAGCAUAUAAAUAUAAGAAUUAUAUUUUUGAUAAACUACUGUACAUAUGAAAUACUAAUUACAACAUACACAUAAUCGGAAGCGGAUUGUCUCCCGUGAAGUUUCUCUCCAGUCUUCUCCUGUGCAAUCUUAGUCUUUCCUUUUUAAAGACAUAUAUCAACGGCUACGGUUAAAACCAAUUAAAUCACAGAUUUUGUCUCUUUCACAAACCAUUUUCUGCUCCAUCCUGCACAGGUUUGCGACGGUGUGGGGAAGUUGCGAUUGAAACCACGGCCGUGCACGAAUACGUACAUUUCUCACAGCGGAUCUUGAAGGUUAAAAUGGCAAACACAUUUUCAAAUACGAUCUCUAACUUCUCUGCGAAUACGUACGUACCUAUUCUCUCGCUGUCUUCUCUGUUUAGGGUUUCAUUCUCACUUUCAAAUUGGUACUCACCGUAAUCCACCAUGGUGGUGCGCCUCCGCCGCACAACAUAAGGAAAAAAGGAUUUUGAAGGAAGAUGGAAAAUAGAGAAGGAAGGACAACCGUCGUUGUUGUGGUUUGCCGCCACACGUCUCCACCGCGCAACCACCGUCAUUACUAUUCCGCCGCCGCUGUUGAGAUGGGUUUGGGAGGAAAGUGGGUUGAGAUGGGUUUCUGAAAUUAAGAGUGAAUGAAUGGCAAAGAAACAACGUGAGGAAGGACAUAAAAGAAACGAAUGAACUUGUAAAAUAAAAAAUAAAAAAAUGAAUGAAGGACUAAGAUUAAUUAAGAUGUCAUUAAAAGGAAUGGAUGGCUAAGAUUAUUUCACAGGAGAAAACAGGAGAAAAUUUCCACUGGAGUGGAUCCUCUCCCCACAUAAUCCUUCCAUAAUGUAUAGGAUCAUGCACCAUACACAUUUUCCAACUUUGGAAAAAUUCAUGGAAAUAAUCAUGUACCACUUUCCGAACUUGUAUAGGAUCCUCCAAUAAUACAGUGUCAUUUUUAUCAUGAAUUUUCUCAAAUUUACUUCUCAUCUUCCUGCAAGUAGAAGAUGCAUGAAAAACGUGAAUUGACAUCUCCAUCUUUGAGUCAAAAACUUCCCUUAUCAUGUUACGUGUUUAAACGGAUGAUUUUAUAAAACUUAGUGUGAACAAAACAUGCAAUUAAUAAGAUUUGUUUGUAAAGCAAAGUUGUACGGUAAAGUCUUCC